GCAGAGCCCAGAAAAACUUUGCUUUGUUGUCUGAGAAGACCAGUGGUUAUGAUUUAAAAUGAAGAGAUGGGAAUAAACUUCUCAUGGAGGCACCCAAAUCAUCACUCAUCAGACAGCACAUGUAGAAAGAAGGAGAAGAAACAGUACCAAAGAUAUCCAAAUAAUGGUACUAAUCACACAGACUGAAAAGGAGGAAAGAAAGAUUCAGGACAUUCAGAACUGGAAAGUGAGCUGUGGCAGGGAACAUCUGCAAGGAACAAAUGUUUCAAUGACAAGCUGCCAUCCUUACUGUUACAUAAAGGACUGCUGUCACUAAGGAUUCCCAAAGAAUCCAGGUGGACUUAGUUGGCUUCUUCUAGGGAAGAAGAAAUAUGAAAGAUGCUAUCUACCCAAACUUGUCUCUCCUCUGACUUUAAUCCAGAUUGGAGUCUCAUAUUUAGAGGUGCUGAGCCAUAAAAUGGUUCCUCCAGAGGCCAGUGGAAGCUCUGAGUACGAUACCAGUGAAGAUCUGACCGUGUUCCCACUGUGAAGAGAAAUAGAAACCUUCAAAGGACCAAUCAUCCUAUCAUAAGGUGUGAGCCUAAGGUAUGUAGGAUGAAUAACCCUCUGACAGUGUCUUCAUUGACUGAAGAGGAGAAUUAACCAAGAUCAGCCCCAAUUUGACAUCAAAUAUCUGCUUGUCAGCAUGUGCAGAACCACCCAAACCAUGUCUGUAUGAACUAAACAUCCACUGAACUAAACAUCCAACUAAACAUUCACUCAGGAUUUGGGAAUUCUCAGAACAUAGCUACUGACCAGUCAUCGUACACAGGGAAAAAUUGCUGGAAGAGAUGCCAGUGCCGUCUUCGCUGUUGCCCAUUAGAGCACUGAGAAGGGUCUUGGAAGCCUUGAACUCACAUUCCUCAUCUGCUUCAGAGGUCUUGAACUCACACUUUCUGCAAGUGUGGUUUAAUAACUGGAUGUGGCACAUUUUGGACCGGAGGGUCUGUUCUACCUCUCUGACUGAAACUGCUCCACCUCAUAAGCACUCAUCUAAAUAUCAACUGAGGUAAACACUGAGUAUAAAACUGUCUUUUAGCUUAAGCACUUGUCUGAAUGUAAAGAGAUGUGUAUUAAACCUC